GACGAACGCUGGCGGCGUGCUUAACACAUGCAAGUCGAACGAAGAGCGAUGGAAGCUUGCUUCUAUCAAUCUUAGUGGCGCACGGGUGAGUAACGCGUAAUCAACCUGCCUUUCAGAGGGGGACAACAGUUGGAAACGACUGCUAAUACCGCAUACGAUCUGACCUCGGCAUCGAGGAUAGAUGAAAGGUGGCCUCUAUUUAUAAGCUAUCACUGACGGAGGGGAUUGCGUCUGAUUAGCUAGUUGGAGGGGUAACGGCCCACCAAGGCGAUGAUCAGUAGCCGGUCUGAGAGGAUGAACGGCCACAUUGGGACUGAGACACGGCCCAGACUCCUACGGGAGGCAGCAGUGGGGAAUCUUCCGCAAUGGACGAAAGUCUGACGGAGCAACGCCGCGGGAGUGAUGACGGCCUUCGGGUUGGAAAGCUCUGUUAAUCGGGACGAAAGGCCUUCUUGCGAAUAGUUAGAAGGAUUGACGGUACCGGAAGAGAAAGCCACGGCUAACUACGUG
rnacentral:rRNA from 1 species